rnacentral:rRNA from 1 species
GGUGAACGCUGGCGGCGUGCCUAACACAUGCAAGUCGAGCGGUGCAGUUUGAAGCUUCGGUGGAAAGCUGCAUAGCGGCGGACGGGUGAGGAAAACGUAGGAACGUGCCCCUUGGAGUUGGAUAGCCACGGGAAACUGUGGGUAAACCGACAUAGACUCGAGAGAGUAAAGGCCGAAAGGCGCCAAGGGAGCGGCCUGCGGCCCAUCAGGUAGUUGGUAGUGUAAAGGACUACCAAGCCGACGACGGGUAGCCGGUCUGAGAGGAUGGCCGGCCACAAGGGCACUGAGAGACGGGCCCUACUCCUACGGGAGGCAGCAGUGAGGAAUCUUGCGCAAUGGGCGAAAGCCUGACGCAGCCAUGCCGCGUGAAUGAUGAAGGUCUUAGGAUUGUAAAAAUUCUUUUCACCGGGGAAGAUAAUGACGGUACCCGGAGAAGAAGCCCCGGCUAACUACGUG